GGCAAUGUUUCCUUCAGCCCUGCUGUGUGGGGACGGUUAGCACUCGGUGUCUGAGCGGCUCUAAGCUACAAAAGACUGGCGUGUGUGAGGGAAGAAUGGUGAACCAGUCAACACCACACCAGCUCUCCACACCAAGCAGGACCAGCAGGUGUCUUGUGAUGUAGCAGCGUUAUAUGGCAGACGCGCGGCGCCCAGUCUGGUGAAAGUGACGAAGGGAGGGAGAAGUACGCCUGCUGUACAACGUUAAGGUGAGCCUGGUGAUGGUGGUGGUACCAGGAUCAGGGUGACGCGGCGCGGCGUAGUGCAGGGCCAUAGCGCGCAGCAACACACGCCCCUCCUGCACCAUCACGCCGGCGGGAGGCAAGGGACUGGGGGGCCCGCUGCUGCCGCUGGAAGGACUGUAGAAGGAGACACCGGUGCUCCUAGCAGGGAGAGACUUGGACCGCCCCCUGCAGAAGGAACAUGGGAAAUAAAACUACAGGACAGGGUCCUGGAACUCCUGUGUAUCUUCAGCUCAAAUCUAUUGAUACACACGUAGCAGCGACGCUUUACGAACCUAACGUCUCCUGCGGUGGGGACGCAGGGCGGCAGGCCUCCUACACAGAGCGGCGUGGUGGAGGGCAGGCGC